GAAGAUGGAUGCACAAGCACCAGUGUCCCCUUUACAAUGCAGUCCUGCAGUUCCUCCUGCGGCCGCAGGGAGGCGCGCAGCAGCCUAUUGUUCACGAUACCAGAAUGAAGUGUUUACAGUUUUAAAGAAGCAAAGUUUCCACAGAAGCAG